GGAGGCAGCAGCUCCAACGAGCGCAAGCCUGAUCCAGCCAUGCCGCGUGAGUGAUGAAGGCCCUAGGGUUGUAAAGCUCUUUCACCGGAGAAGAUAAUGACGGUAUCCGGAGAAGAAGCCCCGGCUAACUUCGUGCCAGCAGCCGCGGUAAUACGAAGGGGGCUAGCGUUGUUCGGAAUUACUGGGCGUAAAGCGCACGUAGGCGGACAUUUAAGUCAGGGGUGAAAUCCCGGGGCUCAACCCCGGAACUGCCUUUGAUACUGGGUGUCUUGAGUGUGGAAGAGGUCAGUGGAAUUGCGAGUGUAGAGGUGAAAUUCGUAGAUAUUCGCAGGAACACCAGUGGCGAAGGCGGCUGACUGGUCCAUUACUGACGCUGAGGUGCGAA
rnacentral:rRNA from 1 species